GGGGCUGUGGCUCAGUGGUAGAGUACCCCCCUCGUAUGUGUCGUAUGUGUGAAGCACUAGGUUCAAUCCUUAGCACCACA
rnacentral:tRNA from 1 species